rnacentral:ncRNA from 19 species
UACACAUGUAGAGGUGCGAAUAUUAUAAGUAUUUUUCCAGAGUGGAUAACAAUGAAGGAAAUUGAAAGGAAUAUUUGCCGAAAUCAGUUAAGCGUCAUCUUAACUGGUUGGUAACGUCACCGAAAGGAACGUUACUGCCAUAGUCAUUUUUGAUUAACUAUGGAGCGCUACUCGUGGG